UGUAAACUGCUUUUGUACGGAACGAAAAGUCUUGGGCUAAUACCCUGGGAUCAUGACGGUACCGUAAGAAUAAGCACCGGCUAACUACGUGCCAGCAGCCGCGGUAAUACGUAGGGUGCAAGCGUUAAUCGGAAUUACUGGGCGUAAAGCGUGCGCAGGCGGUUUUGUAAGACAGUGGUGAAAUCCCCGGGCUCAACCUGGGAACUGCCAUUGUGACUGCAAGGCUGGAGUGCGGCAGAGGGGGAUGGAAUUCCGCGUGUAGCAGUGAAAUGCGUAGAUAUGGGGGGGAAACACCGAUGGCGAAGGCAAUCCCCUGGGCCUGCACUGACGCUCAUGCACGAAAGCGUGGGGAGCAAACAGGAUUAGAUACCCUGGUAGUCCACGCCCUAAACGAUGUCAACUGGUUGUUGGGAAUUUAUUUUCUCAGUAACGAAGCUAACGCGUGAAGUUGACCGCCUGGGGAGUACGGCCGCAAGGUUAAAACUCAAAGGAAUUGACGG
rnacentral:rRNA from 1 species